rnacentral:misc_RNA from 1 species
GCAAACUUGGUCAUUUAGAGGAAGUAAAAGUCGUAACAAGGUUUCCGUAGGUGAACCUGCGGAAGGAUCAUUAACGAUACCCACCUUUUGUGCAACCUGAGAAAAAGCCUACUUUGGAAAGAUCGUGAUCUUUCCAAAGAGGUCAUCACAACCAACCAAUUUUUUCUUUUCUUUUACUAUCUAAAAAUAAAAUCGAAAUAAGAAACAACUUUCAACAACGGAUCUCUUGGCUCUCGCAUCGAUGAAGAACGCAGC